rnacentral:rRNA from 1 species
GCUGUAAAGGGUUCGUAGUUGAAUUGAGGGCUGUCAAGGAGACGAACAAGUCCCGUCCUUCGGUAGGUGACCUUCGCUCUUGCAGUUCGUGAACAUCAGAAACAAACAUCUCGGAAGCGUUUCCUCCCAACUACGCAUGCAAUGUAUGCAGGGGGGCGUCCGUGUGUCUUACUGUGACUAAAAAGUGCGACCAAAGCAGUCGUUCGACAUGAAUUAGAAAGCAUGGGAUAACAAAGGGCAGCCUAUAGGCUAUUCGCUUUUGUUGGUUUUACAGGUCUGUGGGAGAUUAUGGGUGCGCUGACAAGCGGUUCGGGGUUCGUCCCCACGCCUCCGCGGUUGUUCGUCGGCUCCCAGUGGGUCGCGGCGCCGUGGCUUGUGUUCCAGGAAUGAAGGAGGGUUGUUCGGGGGAGAACGUCUUGAGCGUGAGAGGUGAAAUUCUAAGACCGCUCAAAGACGAACUACAGCGAAGGCAUUCUCCAGGAUACCUUCCUCAAUCAAGAACCAAAGUGUGGAGAUCGAAGAUGAUUAGAGCCAUUGUAGUCC